rnacentral:rRNA from 1 species
AUUGAACGCUGGCGGCAGGCCUAACACAUGCAAGUCGAGCGGAUGAAGGGAGCUUGCUCCUGGAUUCAGCGGCGGACGGGUGAGUAAUGCCUAGGAAUCUGCCUGGUAGUGGGGGAUAACGUCCGGAAACGGGCGCUAAUACCGCAUACGUCCUGAGGGAGAAAGUGGGGGAUCUUCGGACCUCACGCUAUCAGAUGAGCCUAGGUCGGAUUAGCUAGUUGGUGGGGUAAAGGCCUACCAAGGCGACGAUCCGUAACUGGUCUGAGAGGAUGAUCAGUCACACUGGAACUGAGACACGGUCCAGACUCCUACGGGAGGCAGCAGUGGGGAAUAUUGGACGAUGGGCGAAAGCCUGAUCCAGCCAUGCCGCGUGUGUGAAGAAGGUCUUCGGACUGUAAAGCACUUUAAGUUGGGAGGAAGGGCAGUAAGUUAAUACCUUGCUGUUUUGACGUUACCAACAGAAUAAGCACCGGCUAACUUCGUG